rnacentral:rRNA from 1 species
CCUACGGGUGGCAGCAGUAGGGAAUAUUGCUCAAUGGGGGAAACCCUGAAGCAGCAACGCCGCGUGAAGGAUGAAGGUUUUAGGAUUGUUAACUCCUUUUGUUAGAGAAGAUUAUGACGGUAUCUAACGGAUAAGCAACGGCUAACUCCGUGCCAGCAGCCGCGGUAAUACGGAGGGUGCAAGCGUUACUCGGAAUCACUGGGCGUAAAGAGGGCGGAGGCGGGGUAAUAAGUCAGAUGUGAAAUGCUGUAGCUGAACGACAGAGCUGCAUUUGAAACUGGUACUCUGGAGUGUGGAAGAGGUAGGUGGAAUUCGUGGUGUAGGGGUAAAAUGCGUAGAGAUGACGAGGAAUACUCAGUGCGAAGGCGACUUGCUGCAGCAUAACUGACGCUGAUGCACGAAAGCGUGGGUAGCGAACAGGAUUAGAUACCCGGGUAGUC